AGGACCCGAAGGCUAUGCAUUGCGCUCAUCAUCUCAAAAGCUCUUCUUCUUCUCCUUAGUUGAUUUCAUCUUCAGUUGCUUGAGCUUAAUUACAGACUGAGAGAAGAUGUCUUGCAGCUGUGGAUCUAGCUGCAGCUGCGGCUCAAACUGCUCCUGCGGGUAAUUUUCACUGUAACUUUGCUGACUUGUUCUUGAUUUAUAGGGCAAUCUUUUCAUUAUUAAUAUUCUCUAAAUAUGCAGAGUAAUCGUUGUUGCAGAGUUAAUUCUUGUGGUAACUGAUUGAUGUUGAUUUUGUUGCAGAAAGAAGUACCCUGACCUGGAAGAGAAGAGCAGCAGCACCAAGGCCACCGUCGUGCUGGGUGUGGCGCCGGAGAAGAAGGCGCAGCAGUUUGAGGCGGCCGCAGAGUCCGGCGAGACCGCCCAUGGCUGCAGCUGCGGUUCCAGCUGCAGGUGCAACCCUUGCAACUGCUAAGAUGCCUGCCUGCAUCUACCAUCUAUCAUGUGUGCGUGUGAAUUGUGAUGCAGAAAAAUAAAGAAGCUUGGCCAUUUGGGUUGGUGCUUGACCAAUAUAUAUGGGGUGUGUGUGUGUGUGUGAUGGGUUAAUCGAUGUGCUAUGUUAUUGGUUUCACUAUUCACGUACUAUGCUUGUAAUGGUGUAUCCACAGAUGAAGUGAUGAAUAUAUUAAACUGGUUUGGCUAUUAUUUCCUAUGUAUAUGUAUUUUGUACCUUCAAUAGUGGCUCAUUACGAAAUUAGUCCAAUAAUUCAGUUUAAUAUUUACCCGGUUACCUGUUACUCGUAAUAGUAAUAAUAUACUCAUACAUUAUAACAUUGUAACAUACCAAGCUCAUAAAUUAGAAAUGAGCUACAAGUAUGACUGGGGAUAAAAACGUUGGAUACGAGUACCACGCUGCGCGUGGUGAGAGAAAAUGUAAAGACUACAUUUUUUUAACUGCAGUAGUGCAGUUAAUCUGUUUAUUAGUACUAUUAUUAUGCAAGCAAGACACAUCUCACCUCAAAGAAAAAGGGAAAAAAAAGCAGAGAGAAAAAGUACUACAGUUGGAAACCCAAUCUAACGGCUAUUCUUGCCCCCACCACCGCCGCCGCCGCCUCCAUCCGCCUCGCCUGACCUAGGCACACGCUCCGCCGCCGCCGCCGUUGCCCGCGCAGCGCAUUCUCCAUUCCCUUCUCUCGCGGAGCCCCAAUCACACGAGAGAAACCGCCUUCCCCUAAACCCCGGCGGCGGCGGCGGCGAACAUCGGAUCGUGGACGAGGCCUCCUCCACCGAAACCAAACCCCUUUGCCGAGGUCUACCUCCGCCCUCCGCUCCCUUCGCCUCUCUUGUGUUUAAUUUGUCCACAAUCUCCACUACAAGAUCCAACUCUGUUUGAUUCUUCUGGAUUUUACUCCUCUUGAUUGCCUAGGGUUCGUGUACGUCUUUCUCUCCUUAGGCUAAUAUUAGACUGAUUCGGUGGUUUUAGCAAUCUAGGGUUUGACGGUGAAUAGAGGUUCAAAUUUGGGCGUUUUCCCAUCCUAUAAUCUUUAGUUAUUCCAGGUCUCAUAAUCUAGGGUUUCAAUGGAUCUCAAGGGAAUAAUACAGGGUUUGAUGUCGGCAUGUAUUCAAGGGAAAUACCACCUCUGUUUCAUCACAACCUAUUUUGAUGCGUCAUGUUGAACUGAAUCUGGCUGGCUUGACGUAUGUGUGGAUGGAUUCAUUGUGCAGUACUACGAGGCAAGAAGCACAGAGAUAGUUGAGGCAGGGGAACCUUUGGGAGUGUGCUGAUAUGCCACUAAUUGCUUAACACACCGAGAAGCUUCUCGGCAUUUGCCAAAUUUGGCUUCCCAAGACAGGUGCUCGCGGCUAACUAUCAUCUAUUGAAACACUUGAGUUAUUUUUGUAUUUCUCUACAUGUUUAAUAAUAAAGCCAUUUGAUUCCUACUGUUAUCGAUAACCUCCGCUACCUUUUCAUAUCCAACAAACCAUAUAAAUGUUUCUUCUUUACAUCUUCUGUAAACGAUGUGCUUACUUCAUGAUAGUUUAGUUAUUAGGCGUUCAUUUGCUUUGACUAUUCCCAGCUAAGUCUAACAAACAGGCUACUAGCAUGAAAAGAUCAGGUCAUCAUGCAGCACUCCUUCAUGAUGUGCACUCUGUUCUGUUUAUUUUGUUGCAAGAAUCUAACUUUAGAACCAACCAUCUUUUCCAUCAACAACAGCUGGCUAUUACAAUGUUAUAUGGGAAUAAUCUAUCCCAAAGGCCCUGAGGUUUCUAGAAUGCACAACACAUUGUUUGAAGCUUGAUUUGGUAAUUCAAAUUUGAUAGUAUAAGUAGUCUUAUGUUUUAUGUAAGAUACAUACACUAGAUUAUGUUUUCUUGUUAGGCCAAAGGGAUAAUGGUCAUGUACCAUGCAAAUAUAUCUGCUCCCAAUAUGUUCUGUUCUCUUUUCUAGAGGACUAGUCUGUUUUCUUUGUCUAUUUCAUCAAUGGAAGCUCAUCUUUUCUGUAGGUCAUGGGCAUCUAUUUCCAUAGGCAUGGAAGUAAAAAUGUUACUUGUGAAGACUUUUGUGCACACAUGUGUGGUGCAGGUAGGCCUCUUAACCUCCUAUUUCUUUUUGAAAGACAGUAACGAGUAUCAUGUCUUUAUUUAUUUGGCCUUUUUGUGAAUCAACCAUAGUAUCAUGUCUUUAUUUACUUGGCCUUCUUGUGAAUCUACCAGUGCAUGGGUUUUUUCCAUGUAUAGUUUUUCCGUGUAUAUUUAGUUCUGCUGUCAUGUUUAAAUAUCUCACUAUCUAGGUUAAGAUUUUGCCGGAAAGUAUGGCAGUAAACUAAAUGUUAAAAGUCAGUCCAAUAUGUUUUGCCAAAGGUGUAAAGCAAGGCCAUGAACCAAACAUACAUAUUAUACUUGGCUUAUGUACUAUUAUCACAGCAGAAAUGCAUCAAUUUCUGUUAGCACACUGAAAUUAUGCGCCAAAAUUUCUUUUUCUGUUAGUCCUAUUUUCUCCUGAUGUUACAGCUAAGGUCAUUUCACAGCACCUUGUGACAUCUUAAUAUGGAGUUAGUUAAUAUUUGUAGUUGUGAAUUAUGUAGAUAUUAAUACAUACUAUACCCCUUCAAGUCUCCUGUUAAGCUUUGCCUAAUCUGUCUUAAGUUCCCCCUUUCUCCGCUUUCACUGAUCCGCUCUUACAUCUUGAUUAACAUGUAUUGCAUUUAGCAAUACCCUCUCAAACUAACAUGUAAAAGGAGUAUCACCUAACAACACCUCAUAGCAUAAGCCCCUACCCAUUUAAACCACAUCGUGUUUUCUUUGCACCCAUUCUUAAUCGAUAGUUCUUUCUUUUCCCCGAGGUGGUAAAAGAAGUGUGUUUGCACCCUUCUUAAUCAGUAGCUCUCUCUUUCCCUGAGGUGGUGAAAUAUACGCUCCUGCAUUGGUGAACCUCAAAUAGAGGUACUUCAUGUAGAAGAAUCAAUGAGAAAGUAUUUUCUCAUUUGUAAGUAUGUCAUAGAAAACAGUUGGCUUAAUGAUAAAAAUACUUUCUGGUGCUUGUUGGCUUUGAAGAGAAACACUGAGAAUCAACAAAGUAUUUUUACUCGUUAUAAAAACUGCCAUACUGAAAGUAUUUUCUCUGUCAGUACGGCAGUUCUCUUAACGAGUGAAAACACACUUUCUGGUGCUUGUUGGCUUUCAAGAGAAACACCAGAAGCUAAUAAUACGUUUAAGUACCCACAUUGGAAGCAUGAUACUCUGUCAUAGCAUACCCGAACAGAUAUUUUCGUUUUUUUCCAUAGCAUAUCUUGCUGUAUUUAUAGAAAAGGUGGACCAUUAAAAUCACUACAACAUACCAUAAGUACCAUGUCUAAACAAUGAACUCAGCCACUUAAAAAUCCAACAUCGUUCUUCAUGAUUCUGUGCAUUUUUCUUUGAUGUUUUCAAACUGCCUUGAGAGGCUAUGCACCUAAUUUUUUUAUCUAAUACUUUUGUUAGGUUGAACUUUAGUCAGGAAAGGUCUUGGAUUCCAUCGCAGCUCAUGAGCAUGUUGAAGUGGCUGUUAUUCCACCUGCAGGUCAAUCACCAAGGUAGGCUGUAUACCGAUAAUGUUCAUUCUCAUGCCGGAUGAACUAGUUCGUGAACAACACACUUCUCAUGGUGGUUGAAGGAAUGUAUAUGUGUUCAAAACACUUAUCUUCAAUUGAAACUUCUAUUUACGUAAUCGCAGCAGGGGAAACCCCCGCUGUUAAUUUUCACCAAAAAAAGAGCACAUACAAUAAUUACAAAUGGGAAAGAGAAAAUAAAUUGAAACAAAGAAAGCCAGUCUAGGAACUGAUCUUCAAUUUAACUGAAUUCUAAAUCAUGCUUUGGCUUACAUAUACGUUUAGUUGUGCAGCCUUACACUAUCAAUUGACUUGCAUAUUGGUCCGCUUGCUCUGGUAUCCUUUCUUUCUAUAUAGGUACAAACAACUAAUUGCAGUAAUUGCUAUAAAGCAACCCCAAUGCUAAGAUAUGUUGCAUCGCCAACAAUAUAUCAGCUGUUAGAUUGAACUAAUCCUUAGAUAUCAGCCGUUACACAAAUCAGUCUCAUGUAUAGACUGGCCCAGCUGGACUCCCCUGUUCCACUUUUGCCAUGUCAGCCCAUCCCCCAUGCCUUCACUUGGCACCUGGAAGGGAUGACUCCCACACGUGUGUCAGGAGGCGCUCCUUGCCUGUCCUGUCUGUAAUUGCGUUAGAAAUUGCCAUUAUUCAUGAUUGAUCCCAUUUGUUCUCUUGAAAAGCCUUUUUUGAAAUUCUUAUUUAAUCACUUAAUCAACUUCCAUCCCAUGGGCAUCCAAGCAGAACCUCUGUCUGCACCUGCCUCUCACAGCACGCUCCUUUUCCUGCUCUUGAACAGCUUUCAUUUGUUCAUUUUAGGUUUUUUUUUUCAACUAUUCUUUCAUCUGACACAUUUAAUAUUGUUGAUCUUUGUUUGUAUGAAGGUCCCUGCAGUUUUUGGUGGUAUUGUUUUGCAUAAUCUGGUCACUAGAUGCCUACCAACUGCUUGAGAUAGUGCCUGGCAAGAAAAUCACUGUUCUUUGGCUAAAUCUUUACAUGGCAUCUCUGUUCUGCCAUUCUCACCGACAUCCAGUUUUCUUGGAGCUUGGCAUCCCCUCCUUGUGCAACUCGUUGCAAGAACAAGUCUCUGCUGGCGUUCUCUGCAGUUCAUCUAUAUUCUUUUGUUGAUGCUCUCUACUUACAUAAUGCGCUUCUCUAUCUGUGUAAGUGAUCGUUCCAACUAUACUUGCAUCAUUCUGUUUUAUCUAAUCUCUCCUUUUCUUUACCCUGUGCACUUAAUAGUGUUGUGCUGUUUGUGAAAUCCAAGAAACAGAGCUCAAAUAAAUUCGCUAGUGUAUGUUGCUGUUGGAUUGUUCUGCAGCUUUUGCUUCCAUUGCUAUUAAUUUGGGUAAGCACUUGGCCUUCCCAUUGUCCAGUGAUAGAUCUACACAUGGUAGUGAUACAUAUAACAAGAUGGCUUCAAGAGAGUUGAUUGAGUUAAAUGAACCCUCUUGCAGCCAUAUUAUUGUUCUUUUUCCUGUUGUGUCUUUUCACUUAGCCCAUUGAAUUGUUGUGAUGGACAGUGGCUGGGGCUUAUUUAAUGUGCCAUACGAAAGUAAUUAUUCCAUGUCAAACUGAUGAUUUGUGUGUUGAAAGACAUAAACAAGCUGGUUUACAGAUUUGAAUUGUUCUGUAAACUAUUCAAAUACGCUACCAUGUUCUGGAUCCUGCUACUCUUGGCAAUAUUAGGAUGGAUUUCAUCAUACCCUGUAAAUUUGAUGUGCUUAUUUGCUUAGGGCUAUAUAGGAAAACCAAUGAGACACCUUUUUGUUAAGAUAGAAAACAAUAUAUGCAACUACAUGUCUUAAAGUUCUUUGUAGUAGGUAAACCUUCAUAGUUUUUCACUUCUGAGCUGCCUUUCAAACAAGAGGAUGAUUGUAUACCCGAGAAGGGGGAAAAGAGUAUCUGCAUGGCAGACGGUAAGGGAAAUUCUUAUUUCUACACAUGAAAAUGAUACUCAAUGUUUUGAUAAGCUCUGUAAAUAAGAUUGUCAAAGUCUGUUUCACAAUUUUUCAGCUUAAUCGGAGUAGGCACAAAGCUAAAUUUAUUAUGCCAAUUCGUCUGUCGGUCAAAAAUUUGAGGACACCUGACCGUUACUUUGUUGAUCAAUAUCUAUACAGGUAAUACACUGGAUCUACUACCAUGUUGUUAUACAAAUGAAAGCACAUAUUUUACCUGUUACUGUUGAGUUGCAGCAUACUUUGGUUCUUUAAGUGUUGCUCUGAUAUUGUUGUAAACUGAAGGAGGCCCCACGAAAUGUUGGCAUACAAUAAUUACACACCAAGUUUGUUUGCUGACUAGAUGUUGGCUCGCCAUGUGAUACCAUCACGUUUUGCCACCAAUUCUGAAUCCGAACCACUAGAAGGUUAAAUUUUUGCUGGUCGGCCGAAGGAUUGGCCGACCAAAUAUCAUUAAGAAAGAGGGGGGGGGGGCUAGAAGGUUAAACAAUCUAGAAGAUACACUUGAUGGCUCGAUAAAUGUGCCUAGAACCUCUGUUGAUCGAUGUUGGCUGACAGUAAAAUCAAUUAGUGCUGUUGCUUUGAUGAAAAUGCUCCAUGUAUCUCAAACUGCGGGUUAAAUACGGAGUCUCUGGUCCAGGAGCAGUUGCCAGUCACAUUCAGGCCCCCUUUUGAAUCCAUAUUUAACCAAAUUGGGUGGACCUUCCACCUGUGUAGCUAAGAAAGAAUAGAUGUGCUUUGCUCUUUUUUCCGGACACAUUUGGCAUGGGGCCAGAACCUUAGUCGGAGAUGUUAGCCGUUUAGAUUAAACCAAAAUACUUAGUUUGAAAAAAUAGUACAGAACAAAAGACGCUAGAUGCUUUGGUCAGCAUAGUAAAAUACAAACCCAGACCUUGUCUAUUGCUCUUCUUCAAAAAUAAGAUGACAGCAAAUAAUUUACUUUACUAUAUUACAGUAUAUUGUAACUGGUAUUGUGCCUGAAACAACUCUCCAGAAUGCCUACGUGUAUUUCAUGUUACCACUAUGCCAUUGAGAAAUUUUCCGUUUAUAUUAUGUCUUCAGGCUGAUCACAGUGCCUGAUAGGGUAGGGGUAACAGUUAUGUGCUUAUCAUAUAGUACUUAAUGACAAACAAGACAUAGAAAAUGUUUCACCGGUGUCAUCUCUAUGCUUGAAGUUUGGAACUCAAACCGUAUUUUUUUUUCUUUUUGCAAUAUUGUAACCAAUGAAUUGUUUUUGUAUUUCUUGUUUUAAUGUUUCUAUUCUAGCAUUUUUGUAAAGUUCUCCAUCCGUUAAAAAAUUAUAAGCAUUUUUAGAUUGUUUAUCGUAAAUUAAGUUCGAGGGAAAAGAAUUUGGUGCCCCUCAUCAUGAGUGAUGGUGAUGGUGGGUGGGGGUAAGAAAGGAAUAUUUGAAUAAGUGAUUGAUGGGAUAAAUAAUAUUUGUCAAUAAUUUUAGAAGUGCUUAUGUUUUAGAACUGAGGGAGUAUUAUACAGUCCAAUGCUUUGUCAAAAUUACCGACACUUUGUUGCUUUAUUUGCCCUUGGCAAAAUGUAUUAAAAUUUCGUCUGGUGAUAUAUCAUUUAUUCAUACUCUAUUCUUUUACUACAUAGCAACACAUUUCGAUGAAGAGCCUGCGUCGUGGCAGAAAAUCGCAAUCGGCAAAGGAGAAAUCCAACAUAUCGUGCGUCGGACAGAAGGAACUCUAUCAAUGAUUGAAAAGAGGCUUCGAUGCUGGGGCCGCGCCUACUCAGGGCGGACAAAACAUUGACCCCUUCCGCCCAUUCUUCCGGACAUUAACGUCUUGCUUACAUUAAUUGGCCUUGUUCCAUAAAAUUAUGUUUUAAAGUCGAGCAUCUGCCCAGUAAAGGCCUGUGCAGACGCCUAUUUGAGCCAAAAUCUAUAUAUAUAUAUAUAUAAGCAUUAAACCCUAAAAAACACGACAAUUAGCCUUUGGUAUAAAAUUUCAUGAGUACUACCUUGGGCUCAAAGACAUCAAUGGUAGCGUAUAGCUGAGAAACAAGCAAGUAUUAGUAUUCGGCCUAAAAAUUCAGAGUUGCACAUAUGUCAGGAUUCAACCAAAAGUUCUGUUAUACACCUAGGACAUAAAACGCAUGGAUAUUUGCCAUCUACCCUAAAUUUAAUUGUUCUUAACCUUUGGAAAAAAAUAGGCAUGAAUAUAAGAUAUCAACAUGAUUUAAUUAUUCUUAACCCUGGGAAAAAAUAGGUAUGAAUAUAAGAUGGAGUAUCAACAUGAAAAAAAACAUGAGUAUUAGCUUUAACCUAAAAUUUCAUUAGUAUUAAUAACCAUAGCGCUAAAACACAUGAGUGCUAGUCGUCAGCCCAAAACACACGAGUAGUAGUAUUCUGGAGAAUUCAUGACACUCACAUUGACUCCAAAAGUGCAUGAACAUUAGCCUUCAAACAUAAACCUUUGACUAUAAGCCUUUGGACGAAAAUUCCAUGAAUAUUAACCUUGGGCCAAAAAUUUCAUCAAUAGCCUUGGGUUUGAAUACAUAUUAUAUUUGGACUAAAAUUUUAUGAGUAUUAACCUUCAACCCACAAAAGUAUUUUUUUCUCCCGAAAGGUUAAUAUAGUAUGUUUUUUCUCCCGAAAGGUUAAUAUUCAUAUUUUUUUUUGCCCAAAGCUACGCUAGAAUGGUAGCGUGAGACGAUAUUAUCAGAGGCACACAAAACAAGAUGAGCGUGUGACUAGAUUUGAUUUUUUUAAAUAACAUCUAUAUAAAAAGUUUUUUGCAAAAAGCGCAGUAGUUAUAAAAAAUGAGCUACAGAGAUGUAGCUCAUCCAUUGAGUCGAGCCGAAUGCAACGCCAUAACUCGGGAAAUUAUAAGCUAAAGGCUAAAAAUCAUGAAAAAUUUGGUCCUAAGGUUAAUAUUUAUGAUAGAAAAUUUUGGGGCGGAGAAAAAUAUUCAUGAUUUUUGCAUGAGUUUUGGCCCAAGGACUAUAAAACACAAAAUUAUAUGUCGAAUGCUAAAUAUCACGAAAAUCUUGGUCCUAAGACUAAUAUUCACAAUUUUUGUGCACGUUCCCAAUGCCAAUACUCACGAAAUUUUGGGAUGGAGAAAAAUAUUUAUGCUUUCUCCAAAAGGUUAAUAUCCAUAUAUUUUGGCUGAAGGCUUUAUAACUCGUCAAUUUGUAGCGUGGAGGCUGAAUUGCAUGAAAUUUUUUUGUCCUGAUUUUAGUAUCCACAAAUUUCACAUGCCAUGCCCUCGAUGCUAAUACUAGAAAUAAUUUGGAUCGAAGAAAAAAAUUGUGUGAUUUUUCCGAAAGUUAAUACUCACGGGUUUUAGCCGAAGGUUAUAACUCAUGAAUUUGUAGAAUGGAGGCGAAAUUUCAUGAAUUUUUUCUUCAUUUUAAUAUCCACAAAUUUCACACGCCAUGACUCUUCCUAGCAAAAUGUUGGGCCAAACAAAAAAAAUAUGCAUUUUUUCCAAAGGAUAAUACUCACGGGUUUUACUCGAACACUAUAACUCACAAUUUUAUAACCUGAAGGCAAAAUUUCAUAAUUUUUUUGUCGUAAUGUUAAUACUAGAAAAAUUCACACGCAAUGAACCUGGUGCUACUAGUGAAAAUUUGGGGCAGACAAAAAAAAAUCAUGCGUUUAUUUCCAGAAGCUAAAUUUCAUGAAUUUUUUCCCUGAUGUAAGUAAUCACAUAUUUCACAUGUAGUGACCCUGAUGUUCGUACUAGUGAUAGUUUGGACUAAAGAUAAAAUUUCAUGUGCACAACAAUCCCAAUGCUCAUGCCUAGAAUAAUUUGGGCCGAAGGAAAAAAAUUCAAGUGUUUUUUUUUCAAAUAGGUUAAUACACAUUAAUUUUCUCCGAAGGCUAUAACUCAUGGAAUCCAUUAAUAGGCUGAAGGCAAAAAUAUAUGAAACGUUUAGUCAAAAGAUUAAUACCCGCGAAGUUUAUACACAAUAUAUGAUCCAAAUGCUAAUCCUCGUUAAUUUUUUUUGGCGAGAGAAAAAAUUUAAGCUCUUCUUCCAAAUGUUAAUCCUCUUAAGCUUUCGGCAAAGGGUAUAGGGUUUAGGGCGAAGAAGAGAAAUAAUGAAUUUUUUUCCCUAAAGUUAAUACUCACGAAUUUUGUGCACAACGAUUGAAAUGCUACUACUCGUAAAGUUGUGUGCUAGAGAAAAAUUCAUGUGUUUUUUUUUCUAAAAUUUAACACACUCAUCAACUUUCGCCCUGAGGGUAUAACUCAGGGAAUUGUAACUCAAAGGAAAAACAAAUCAUAUUUGUUUCUCCUAAGGUUAAUGGUGUGCACAACAAUCCUAACGCUCAAACUUGUGAAAUUAUAGCCGGAGAAAAAUCAUGCGUCACUGCCGAAAGCUUUUUUGAGAAUACGUCGGUCCGUUUUACGUAUAGUUCAACUAGGGAAGAGCACGGAUCAAUUGGAACUUUUGAAACUUUCUGAAACUAGGGAAGAGCUAAUGCACAGCUACUUCUCUCCUUCAUAGGGCCCGGCAUUGUUUCUUGCAUCGCCAGGCAUUCUAGUCGAUCGGCAUCAAGUUAUCCCAAGACGGCCCAAAGCUCGAUUCUUUGGUUAAUACAAAAUAUCUAAAGCAAGAAGCUUGCAAUGAUAACCUUAAAAGAAAAAGGGAGAAACCUAUGCUUUCCUUAAGUCGAUACUAGUUGUUUUCUUGUCCAUGAUGCGUGCUCUUAUUUUGCAAAUCCGCCAUGGUAGGCUUGGUUCCGUGUAUUCGAUCCUACGUAUCCUUGCUAUAACCCUGAACAAUUUGACUGUCUCAUGUCUGUUUAGUUUGCAGCUAUCAGUUUCAGUGUUGAUUUUGUACCGGCACGGCGGUACAUCCCAAGUUCUAGUAUUUCUGAACCUGUAGAUCGAUGCUAGCUAUACAGUGAAAGAAGAGCUUGAGCUGUAGAGUAAACGCUGAGAUGAAAACAUAACAAGGCUUCGGUUCAGUUCGGGAGAAGUUUUGACUGCCACAGAUGUAAAAAUAAAAAUAACAGAAAUGAACAAAUGCAAAAGACUAGCAAACCUCCUACCCUGUACGACCCCUUUCAUUCAAACAUGGAAACAAAAGGACAGCAAAACUGGGAGGCUCUAAUUCUUUUGUUGUUUCAUUUUAUAUUUCUACAUAGAAUAGAAGAAUGGAAUGAUAAGUUAAGCACAAAUGAUUUCACUACACAAUGAGAAAACUGCGGUAUAGCCAAACAUGAGCAAGAAUUGACUGAUAACGGAUACACAAUUUUAAUAGGUUCAUUCCCCGGUGCUACGAGAGUAAUGAAUAGUAUAGCUCUUCUAAGAAAGAAGCAUGGCUGCUGUCAGACAAGAGCAGAGAAAAAUUAGGCGCAAGCCAGGCAGUAUUAGCAACCCUCCAGCGCUUCCGUGACUUAAGCCUGGAGGUAGACUCGAGGUUGGUGCCGCUGCACCUGCACUGCCAUGGCUUGCUGCGUCCCGUCAGGAGACGUAUUUGCAGCUCCCGUAGCCUGCCGAACAAGCAUGUAUCGGUUUCAGUUCAAAUGAUCAACUACUACCAUGUUCAAAAACAUAGCAGGUCUUUCUUUCUGAAUAAGUGUAUUUGACAGUCUAGUAAUGUGUAAUGCUGCUAGGUGCAGAACAUGAACGAGAAACAGUUGUUUCAACUUACUAGGGUCAUUGGAGGUGACCGCGCCGGUGCCCUUGAAGUCGCAAUCGUAGUCGUGCCGCCCGUUGGCCUGGUAGAAGGCAUUCAUCACAAAUGCAGCAUGGGACUGCACGUUGUUCGGAUCAAAGCAUGCGCCACCACUUUGUAUCGGCUUACAGUCCACAUAGCCACAGGCAUAGUUAAUGUUGUUCUGCAAGUCAGUAUCACUCGCACCAGCCUUAGGGACACACCACUUCCCUCCACCAGAAGGAGCGGGUUUCGGACUAGGGUUAGGUGAUGGAUUCGGCGAAGGGUUUGGAGCUCCAGACUGCAACGUAGGAAAGCAUUGGUUUCAUCAAAUAAGUAAGGUGAUAAAGGAAAAGAAUUCAAGCACCACAGUGCCUAAACAGGAAAACAGUAACUCCACAAAACUGCGGACUAGGGUAAACAGCAUUGUAAAUCCAGUUUAGAACAUACUCUUCAACAAAAUUAGUUUGCCUGCAAUAGACUGAGACUAAAUUGUUGUGUGUACAUGUUAGUAUGCUACUGAUACACUUGACAGCAAAUACAUGUUUUCUGCAUUCUGCAUUGGCACCAUCCAAGACAGGGUUUGUUUCCUCGUCCAAAUCGAUGAUUGUUUGCCUAAGAUUCUUGGCUCGCUAAAUUGAUCCAGUUAGAUAGCCCCCAUAUUCUCCAUAGUCCACUACUUUCACUAAGCAUCACCAAAGGCUAACUAGCAUUAUUGGCUGCAUCAAACUUCGGUCAGCGAAGCUGAUCCAUACGGACACACAGUAUAGCUCAAGUAGAACAGAGAAAUAGCAAGGCUCAAAUGAUCAAAAAUAACAAACACAUGGACACGUGGAUAUCAUGGGAUGGAUAGAUAGAGGUGACACCAGAUGAAGCAAAGUUGGAAACGACACUGGCACACUGCUCCAACCAGCAAGCUCCAUGUGCAAUGGCACCUUAUAUGUUGCCAGUGUGGACUGACUGUCCUACCUUUUGAGUUUGUUUUUAAUUGAGCAUGAAACGAAAGGCAGAGGGCAUGUUAAUUCCCUUUUUGCUUCAAGGUAGCUUCGUAGAAGCACCAGACCACAUUAGUUUCUUAAAAUCCAGCAAACUACAAAGAAGGGAUACCAAACAGUCUGUAUUCAGCAAUAGAAGGCAGAAGCUAAGCUACACAGCCCACAGAACAAGACUUGAUGCUUUCAGCAAAAGCUGAUGCAGUACUAUGCACUAGGUUGUCCUAUGUAUCUCAAAAGCACUAGUAUCUCUAUGUGGAUAGUAAAUUAGUGUAAGUCAUCAUAUUUACUAUAUUGUACUCCUACCAUUCUCUUGGUUAUUUGGUCCAUCACAAAAUCCUAAAAGAAAAAUGUACUAACUAAACCCAUAAGUCAGUGUAGCAUUCAGAAAGAACAGAGCACAAUUGAACCUGUUAGUUUACUGAACAGAAGUUGUAAUUAUUCGAUGACAUGGUAGGUGAGUAGUGAAUAGUACUAUGUAAAAGUUGAGAAAUGCCCAGCCAUCGAUAGAAGCAUGUGCAUCUUAGAUCUUAAUCAGAGGCCUGCGGCUGUCCCAAUAGCAUGUAUAAAAAAUGCAGACGUGUCCAAGGCUUCACCACAUGGGCGGGCUACCGCCCCUGGAUUCAUCGAGAAAAGCAGCCUGGGCAAACAGAUCAUCGAUGCGAUAAGGAGCAAAAGUUGAACCGGAAACAGGUCUUUCCAGAGAGGUCAGGUUGGGCCAUAACCCCAUGGCUACACCUUUGACAAUGCGGUGUGAACAACCAAACUUAGCUAGUACCACCAAUAUCCGCAUGGUCACGGUCGCACGGAAGCGAGGACCAGCUUAGAUCAGCAAAGCGUGCGUGUACAUAUCGAUUGCCCUAUCAACGUCCUGACAUGAGUUAAAUACUAAAAAUUGGUUUGCUACAGCUAUGCGAAUCUAUCUGUUAGUACUAAUUAUUCUUUCAUUUCUUUCUCCCCUGAAGAAGAAAUGAAUAAUCCCCGGUGAUUAAAUAAUGCAAUCUUUGGCAUAAGAUGCAGGCUAAUCAAUCUCCCAAUGACAGGCAUAUAUGUACUGAAAAUAAGUACCACCAAUGUUUUUUUUUCUAUUAAUCUGCAUCUAUCUCAGGGUAAUUAAUUACACUAGCUAGCUAAAACCAACCAAAUGAAAAGAAAAGAAAUGAAGAUGGGGAAUGAAAAAUUACUUACAUCGGAGGAUUGGCGGAGGAGGCCGAGGUCGUAGAUGGGGGUGAAAUCCGGGUUGAGGAUGCCGAAGUGCUUCUCGGCGAUGGGUCCGGGCUUCUGGUUCUCGUCGAAGAGGGAGAAGAUGUAGGUCUCGAACUUGCGGUUGGGCAUGAGCGGGGUGCCCUUGCCGCUGCUGACGACGCGGAGCAUCCCCUCGUUGAAGUCCCUGGCCUCCUCCACGCCGACGCCCACCUGCCCUGGGUCCGCCUGCGUGGGCCACCCGGCCUCCCCGACGGCGAUGUCGACGUCGCCGUAGCCGAGGCGCUUCAUGGCGGUGUAGAUGGCGUCCAUCUGGGCGUCGAACAUGGAGGUGUAGUUGAGCUUGGUGUUGGGGUCGUAAACGCCGCGGUUGGGGCGGAAGAGGGCGUAGUCCAGCGUCUGAUUGUUGUAGCUGAAGUAGGGGUAGGGGUUGACCAUGAAGGGGGAGCCCGUGUCGCGGUGGAACUGGAGCAUGGGAGGGAAGAGCUUGGUGUCGUAGCCCGGGCGGAAGCGGGCGUUGGAUGGGAUGCCGUCGGAGGGGGCGAGGAUGCCGAGGUAGUGCGGGGUGGUGACGCGGACUCCGGUGAGGCCCUCGAGGCGGAGGGCCUGGGCGAGGCGGCGCAUGGCGGGGAGGAGGGAGAGGACGAGGUUGGGGUCAGGGGAGAGGAGGAUCUCGUUGCCGGCGAGGAGGAGGGUGACGUUGGUGGCGGGGACGUAGGGGGAGAGGUUGGCGCGGACCCAGGCGCGGGCGGUGUCGAGGCCGGUCUGCUUGUCGGCGAGGGAAGGGAGGUCGGAGUUGGGGAGGGAGACGGCGAGGGAGAUGGGUGUGUUGGCGAAGGCGGAGAUGAAGGCCGGGUUGGCGUCGAACAGCUUCACGCGGUCGAUGGUGGUGUGCGCGGCGAGGAAGGCCGCCACGUCCUUGGGCGGAGGGAGGUUGUCGGCGUUGGCGCCGUAGUUGACGCCCACCGCCAUCGACGGGAGCGCCGCCUCGGCCGCCCUGAAGGAGGCGGCGGCGACGACGACGAGGGCGGCGAGGAGCAUCUUCAUCAUUGGUGGGUGAAGGUUUCUCAUCUCAUCUCUCUCAGAUUCUCUCGCCUAGGAGUAGCUUCACCUUGUGUUGUGUUGGGAUAUAAUAGACGAAGAAAAAGUAGUGUGGGGGUUUGCGAGUUGAGAUUUCAAACUCGACGACGCUCCUCUUCUCUCCUAUUGACCUCCUGAUAGAGAGUAGAGGAGUAGUAGGAGUGAUUAGUGUAAAUUAAUGGCGGUUUGGUGAGAUGCAGUCUCUGAGACAGGUGCUGAACGCACCGGGUUCCCAGCUAGCCGUUAGUCCGUUACUGAUUGCUUGCUGUUACAGGUUGUAUCUCUAGAUUUCGUGUUAGUAAACCGGAAUAAAAUAAUUUCACAUUCAGAUAUAUUUCUUUUCAACUUUUUUAGUUUCCUCGGAAAACCGAGUUGCUUUGUAUUUUCAAGGCACAAGUUCAGCUUUCAUUGGGAUUGUCAACUCCAAAAUGAUUGAAUCUCAUUCCAGCCAAGUCCAAAUGCACGUUUUGGUAGAUUAGAUGAGUACGCUAUCCGUAAAAAAAACUCUAGAUAAGAAUGGAACAUAACCUAACAUACUUUGCAUAGAUUGACUUUUUUUUAGCACAAUGAAUACGUACAAUAAGUUAUACCUGUAAAAUAAGUACAAUGAACCAGCACCAACAGUUCAGGGCAACAACGACAAGCGACAGUACGGCCUCUACCCUCUCCUCGACAGCGCCUCAAUCCAGACAGGUCAUGGAGGCCACCACCGAGGUUACUAAGGGGUCGAGGAGGCCCCGUGGCUUGGAGCAGGUGAUGACAACGAGCGGCGGCACAGCUCGGCGGCUUAAAGCGGGGGACGACAACAAGGCAGGCACCAUAUCCGCCGCGUCCUCUUACUUGAGGCCAUGACCUCCACAACGCGAUCGUGCCCCCCCCCCCAACACGUCGUUUGGCCUCAAUGUAUCAAAAGAAUGUGUGCGCACUCUAGGCUCCGUAGACAUCGUUUGGUCACACCCAACACCUAGCUGGCCACGACGUGUUGAGGAUUGGCCGAACAGCAUGUCAAAGCACUAUGAACACCCUUACACAAGAUAAAGAGGAAAAAGUCCUUCAUUUUCCACUACGCGCGCUUUCCAAACUAUUAAACGGUAUUUUUUUCUUAAAAAUAUUAUAUAGAAAGUUGCUAAAAUGCAUAUUAAUCUAUUUUUUAAGUUUAAAAUAAUUAAUACUCAAUCAUAUUCUAAUGGUCUAUCUCAUUUUGCAUGCCUCAUGGGUCUUUUUCUUUUCUAUCCUCUCAAAGUGAAGAAAGAGAGUGCAAUUAAUUAAUGGCCGGAAAGAUUAGUUCUUUGUAGAGCAUUUUCUCAAGGAGAGGAACCAGCAGCCAAAGGUAUGUUUGAGAUGGCACAUCUAAAAAAAUAGAGGGUUUUCAACAUAAAAGCUUAAAACCAAAUGUUUGUCUUCCAUGAAAACAUAAGAAAGAUUGGUUGAAAAAUAUCGUUUGCUGUAAAGGAAUGGACAUAAUUUUGUUGCAUGAUUCAAAUGGUCUGAAAAUAAUUUGAGAGGAUCUGUAGUUGAAAAGGGGUGGUAUUGUGUCGGGGGUGGGUGAGCGAGUGCGCAUCUCGAGGAGGUUGCUUUGAUGAAAAGAAAGGAAGAAGAAAAGGAUGAUUAUUGGGUGGUGGAGGAAGGGACCGUUACAAGGCAGGGAAAGCUAGGGCGGAGAAACAGGAACCUGUGCCGUGCGUGCACUGCAGGGAGUAUUACAGUACACGUAUCUGUACUUUGAUUAAUACUCUACUAAUUGCAAUAUUAUAACGAGGAGAGUACGGUAGUAGAAGUACUACAAGUGGCUAUCUAGGGGUUGUUUGGGAUGUCUCUCACAAAAGUAAAAAAGCAAAAGUUCCUAUGGGAGGGGCUAAAUUUUUUUUAGAUGGACUAAAACAAGUCACUCCCAUCAAAACACCACCCUAGUGUUAUACUCCCUCCAUUCUAAAUUGAUCUACAUAUUUCAUAGGUACACUAAAACCAAUAAAAGCUAAUAACUCUCUCAUACUAUAUUUACUCUAGCAACAAACUCGAUGCAUGCACCACCUCCAAUAUUUCCUAGCCAAUAGCAAAUCAAAAUAUUGUAUGCGGGUUAUAAAUACUUGUGUGCAUGGAUGCAUGCAUCAAUAUCCAUUUACUCCAAUGCACAAAUAACGAAUAGACUUAAUAAAUGAACACAAAUAUGUAGAUCAUUUAGGAAUAGCUAAAAAAAAAUAUAUGUAGAUCAAUUUGAAAUGAAGGGAAUACUAACUUUCACCUUUAAAAAAUAAACCUAAUACGAAAUAUGAUUCUCAUAUAAUACGGCGAAGCGACAAUAGUUGUUCCAGUGUGUAAUACUCCCUCUGUCUCAAAUGUAGUUUUGUAUUGGUCAUAUCUAACGUUUGAUUAUUCGUUAAAUUUUUUAUGAUUAGUAUUUUUUAUUGUUAUUAGAUGAUAAAACAUGAAUGUACUUUAUGUGGGACUAUUUUUUUUAAAAAAUAUAUUUUUUUAAAUAAGACGGAUGAUCAAAUAUUGGAGUCAGAUAUUCACGGAUACGUUUAUUUUGGAAUGGAGGUAGUACUAAGUUAUACUAUCUAGUUACAAUUACUCCCUCCGUCCCAUAAUAUAAGGAAUUUUGACUUUUUGCUUACACUGUUUGACCACUCAUCUUAUUCAAAUUUUUUUUUGCAAAUAUAAAAAAGAAAAGUUGUGCUUAAAGUACUUUAGAUAAUAAAGUAAGUCACAAAUAAAAUAAAUAAUAAUUUCAAACUUUUUUAAUUAAAUGAAUGGUCAAACAGUAUAGAAAAAAGUCAAAGUCUCUGUCGGAGGUAGUAUAUUAGAAGAGAGAAGGAUUAACAAAUUUAUAUUAGGAGGAACGGAGUACUAGCUUUUAUCCAGAGUGAUGAGAGCCGUGACCCGUGAGCAUGAGGCGUGUUGACCCAGAUGAAUGAGUGAGUGACUGCUUUUUGACCGCCGACGUCGUCCGGUGCGUGCAGUGACGUUUCCCACGUCGCCAUAUCUCUCUCUCUUCACCGCGUCGCAUUCGCGUACGCCUUCUCUGCUGCUGUGGUGCCAAGCAGCUGAACGAGUGAUAGAUAUCCUCAAGCAAAGAAAUCACCGCCUAGAUUUGUCUGUGACCGUGACAGUCUCACACCCCUCCCAACCAACCACCCCAUCCAUUAAAUUUAAUCUUUUUGAGAAAAUUUCACCAAACCAUAUUAUUUUAUUAUUUAUGUUUCACAUUGAAUCACUUGUUAAUCAAUAAAGAUAAAUUUACCCGAUUCAAAGUAGUAAUAAAAUUUAAUUUCUUAAAGAGGGAUCCAAAACAAAACAACUAAUUAAAAGUUACUCUUCUUACUAGUAUUCACUCCACCUCACCUCUACAGUGUUAGUUUACUCCGGACAGAUGGAGUCACCGUACACCCCACAACGACUAUCCAAAGCCCAUAGCACUCCACUUUCAUGAUUCUACACCAUAAUAUCAUACGGAGUACUAUGAAACAAACAAGAAACGUUCAUCGUCGACCAUCCCUCAUUUUGCUGCUAUGUAUACUCUAUGUGUGAAUAAUCAAUCCAAAUGCACGCAACAUGUACAAGAGAUAAGACAUAAAUAUUGAGCGCACCUUCAAUCUAGUCUAGCUAUAAACAGAAGAGUCUAGUUGCUGCUGGCGGCGGUGUUGGAGAUAACCUGCACAGUGCCCAGUUUACUCCCCCAUUCGGCUGACGGCGGUGUCCUGUCACCGUACCCAAACAUGUUAAUUUACCACGUACUCACAUUGGUCCAAACCACACAUUCCAAACAUGACCACCUAUCUCAACAACACCCUUACUAUCCUCGCAUCAUUCAUCAUGCGAGGGAUGUCCCCUCGUAUACUUUUUCUUUCAAAUUUAAUGCAAAUAGCCGUGAAAAAUUCUUAAAAUAAUUGAUAACGCAUAGUGAUAUCUACCAGUCCACCGAAAAUCAAGUUCAAAUUCGACCUACACAUUGAGAAAAAAAAAGACAAAUUUAGAUAUGAACAGUACACUACUAUUCAUACGCUUAAUUUAUAUUUUUUUUUAUAUAUCUCAAUGUGUGAGUUGAGUUUGGACUUAAGAUUUGGUGGAGUUGUAUAAAUAUGUUGUAUGAGUGUUGUUAAUUUUUUCCAGAAUUUUUCAUAACCAUUUAGAUGGUUUUUAAGCAAACGAGGGCAUAUCCCCUCGAGGAAUCAAAAUAAUUUCCCAUUUACCCAUACAAACAAGACACCUUAUGAUAUACUAGUAUCACUCUCAGUACGUGACAUGCAUCCUAUCACCAAUCAAAAGGAUUCUUUUAUUCCCUGCAUAAUGCUUCAAAAAAACUGCAUUAGCUUGAUUCUUGAUAUGCUUGGUCCAUUUUGACUGACACUACAAUGGAGGGAGCCAAACGCCACACAAAUAGGCUUCAAGUUAUAUAACCAAGCCACUCUGUUUGCCGGGGAAAAUAAUACUAUGAAGUUUACGUAUGCCCAAGAUUCCAUCACACUAUCUACCAUCAAAUACAGCCUAUGACUUACUGGCCAAACACAACUUAUGCUCUACACAUGGUAUACAUUAACUAAACAUGGACGGGUUUGGAAUCCAACAAAUACAGCAUUACUUCUCAAGUUAUUAUAACAUGAUUACACCAGAUACAUGUAGGAGCAGAACUUACUCAUCAUGACCGAUGAAAGCAUCACGGCGAUCGCUAUAUUCAGGAGUGCAGGAUCUUCGCUCCUCAUCAUGUUCUUUAGUCUGUCGUGAUGAUUUUGUUUGCUGCUCCUCCUUUCUCUGUGGGGAAGCAUACUGGUCAUCUCCUUGCCUUCCGGGGGCAGGAGAGCAUGACCUACAGGGUGAAUAAGAUCAUUAAGGAAAAAUGUGCACUACGCAGCACAUCAUGAAGAUCCACUGGCAUACCGAGAUCUAGCACGGCCACGGAGUUCAGGAGAGCGGGAACGCGAGUGUGAAUGAAAAUGAGACCGUCCUACAGGAAACAUAGCAACUUGUCAAUAUUGAAAGAUGAGGAAACCCAUCCACAGGUCCUGACUGCGCACCUGGAGGGGAUGGCUGGGGUGACCUGCCCAGUGCCCAGGAUCGCUCACCAUCAGGUGCCGGCGGCGUCCUGUCAACACAACAUGCAAUGUUACUAUUACACAUCAACAACAAACGGACAUCUGAGACAUGACCAGCAUAUCAUUAAUUCAAGAGCAAUUCUACAGUACUUGAGGAGGUACCAUGAGAUACCAAAAUUUUAGUGUAAAUUUUGGUACCUCAUGGUACCUCACAGUACCUAGGUACCAUGAGGUAUCAAAUUUACAAUAGAAAAAAUGGUACUUCAUGGUACCUCCUCAAGGACCGUAAAAUCGCUCUUAAUUCAAACACAGAUGAAUAUGGCACCGUCUGUUACCAGUAACAACUAACAAGUUAAUAACCAACCUCAAACAGAAUAUCAUUUAGGCAUACAAAUGAGCAAGGACGCAUCACAUCAUUCGGAAAAUAAAAGGGACUCUAUAUGCAACAUACUAUGACUCAACUUCAAAUUAUAUGUAACGAUAUUACACCAGACACAUGUAGCAGUACAGGAACAGAACUUACUGAUCAUAACCAUUGUCAGCAUCCCGGCGAUCAUUAUAUUCAGGAGUAUAGGAUCUGCGCUUCUCAUCAUGUUCUUUAGCCUGUCCUGAUGAUUUUGUUUGGUGCUUCUCCCUUCUCUGUGGGGAAGUAGACUGGUUAUCUUGCCUUCCUGUGGCAGGAGAGCAUGACCUACAAUGUGAAUAAGAUUGUUAAGGAAAAAUGUUCAUUCUGCAGCACAUCAUGAAGAUCCACUAGUAUACCGUGAUCUAGCAUGGCCACGGAGUUCAGGAGAGCGGGAACGUGAGUGUGAAUGACAAUGAGACCGUCCUGCAGGAAACAUAGCAACUUAUCAAUAUUCAAAGAUAGGAAAUCCGUUAGUCCUAACUGGUGACAGCUCACCUGGAGGGGAUGGCCGGGGUGACCUGCCCAGCACAGAGGAUCGCUCACCAUCAGGUGCCGGAGGUGUCCUGUCAACACACAAUGUGAAAUGUUACUAUUAGUCUAUUACACACGUACAACAAACUGACAUCGGACUCAUGACCAGCAUAUCAAUAAUUCUAUACUAAAUAUGCAUGCAUGAUACCAAUCUGUAACCAGUAACAAGCUUACCAACCUCAAACAUAAUAUCAUUUAGGCAUACAAACGAGCAAGAACUUAUCACAUUGUUCAAAAAAGGAAAAGGAAUUCUAUAUAUACAACAUAUUACGACUUAACUCUAGGGAGAUCAAAAAUUCAAGAAACUAAAAUAGAUGAGGCCAACACCAGACAUCAAGGAUAGAAUAAGAUAGAAAAGAAACUCUAACCAAACUAUGAACUGGACCACAUAAAUACAGUUUUGACCAGGGAAAUAUUGAGUUUGCAGAUGCCCACGCCCCAGGGUUCCAUCACAAACUAUCUGCCAUAAUGUACAGGCUAUCAGUUAUUGCACACACAAAACUUAUGAUGUGCCCAGUAACCACAUGGUAUACACCAACUAAGAUGGAGUAAGAAUCCUCGACGUAUCGUUAUUUUGAGCUGUGGGUAGUUAACAUGAAAAAGAAGGGCCUAAAAAGAUAAAUCGGUGUGGGAUCCAAAUACAACAGUACUUAAGUUAUAUAACAAGAUUACACCAGACAAACGUAGAAGCAGUGAAGGAGAAGAACUUACUCAUCAAAACCAUUGUCAGCAUCCUGGCAUUCAUUAUAUUCAGGAGUAUAGGAUCUGCGCAUAUCAUCAUGUCCUUUUGUCUGUCCUGAUGAUUUUGUUUGGUGCUCCUUCCUCUGCGGGGAAGCAUACUGGUCAUCUUGCCUUCCUGGGGCAGGAGAGCAUGACCUACAGUGUGAAUAAGAUCGUUAAGGACAAAGGUACUGCACGGAAUAUCAUGAAGAUACACUGGCAUACCGUGUUCUAGCAUGGUCAUGGAGAUGAAGAGAAUGGGAACGUGAGUAUGAGCGAGAAUGAGAUUGCCCUGAAGGAAACAUAGCAACUUGUCAAUAUUCAAAGAUGAGGAAACCCAUACACUGGAUUAGUGGCCGCUCACCUGGAGGGGAUGGCCUGGGUGACCUGCACAGAGCCCAGGGUCGCUCACUAUCAGGUGCAGGCGGCGUCCUGUCAGCACAAUAUACAAUGUUAUAAUCACGGAUUGUAUUCAUGAAAUGUUGUUGUUAUUAUUUACGCACGUACAACAAGUGAACAUUCGAAACGUGACCAGCAUGCCAGUAGUUCUAAACUAAACACGCGCACAUGCUACCAUCUGUUACAAGUAACAAGUCAACAACCAGCAUGCACGCAGCACACUAUUUCAAGAAAAAAAAGGAAUCAUAUGCAACUACUUACCUCAACUCUGGGGAGAUCAACAAUUGAAGACAUUUUUUUCUCACCAAAAAAAAAGAAUAUACUAACACCAGUGAUUUUUACACUGGUCCAAGAGAUAAUAAACUGUACAAAAGGCUACAGUAUUGAUAUAUCACUGACAGUAUAGUACAUUCUCGCUUGGAAUGAGCCUGCACCUAAUAUGACAUGUAGUCCUAUCGGCAGUGAAGGAAUUAUUUAUGUACAAACCAUGUUGAUAUAUUUUGACAGAUGAUAAAAUGGGCUACUGCAAUAGAACAGGGCUAAAUUUAGGUUGCAUGAAUGCACAGACAGUUUAAGAUAGGGUCCUGGAAUUCAUAAGUACACCAUUGGUUAAAAAUAUAUUAAGUUCGCAUAUGUCCUGGAUUUCCAUCUGAAACAAUCUGCCAUUGUGUGUGAGGAAUCAGCUACUGUGCACACAAGACUUAUGUUAUAGACAUGUUAUAUAGUACUCCCUCUGUCCCAAAAUAUAGAACUACCUUUGGACUUUUUUUGGAGGGACUAAGGUUGCGGUAAAAUUUAAAUAAAGGAUGGUUGUGAUUGUUUGAGAUGAGGAAGUAGGUGGAGAAAAUAAAUGAAGAUUGUUGUGAUUGGUUGGGAUGAGGAAGUAGGUGGAGAAAUUAAAUGAGAGAUGGCUGUGAUUGGUUGAGAUGAGAGAAUAGGUCGAGAGGUAGCUAUAUUUUGGGACAAAAUUGAAUGCUAAAGGUAGCUAUAUUUUGGAACGGAAGGAGUAACUAAGAUGUACAAACUCUCGAUGUCUUGUGAUUUUGAGCUGUGACUGAGUGACUGACUGGUGGACUGGUGAAUAGGAUUUGUGACUUAUGGAGUGAUGAAUAAGUAUUUAACCCAAACAAAACAAUAUAUAUAAAAAUAUUGCAUGUGACGUGUAGCAGGCAGCGCACAAGCAGAACUUACUCAUCACGACCAAUGUCAGCAUACUGCCGAUCCUUAUAUUUGGGAGUAUAGGAUCUGCGCUUCCGCUUCUCAUCAUGUCCUUUAGGCUGUCCUGGAGAGUUUGUUCGGCACUCUUCCUUUCUCUGUGGGGAAUUAUGCCUGUAGAGCAGCCACGAGGGUCAUCUCAAAUGAAAGGAUUUUCAAAACCUUUGGGGGUGUGGUGUUCUGUUGUACCCUUGGAGGGCAGGUGUCGGAGUCUUCCUCUAAUACCGUACACCUUUUCUUCUCUAUCUUAAUGAAAUGAUACGCAGAUCUCCUGCGUGUUCUAAAAAAAACAGUACUGGGUACAGUAUACCUGGCUCCAAUUAUUCUUCGCAUUUCCUCGGGCCUUUUCCGUGUCUGCACAGCAAAAGCAACACUGAUCUCACGUCCAGAAAGCAUCUUACGGUUCAUGUGAUAUCGCGCUUUAGAAGCAUCAGAAGAGUGAGCAAACUCCACAAAUGCAAAUCCUCUUGGCUCCCUACAUAUAUGGUGUUAUAAAAUGUUGGAUAAGUAAUACUAUAUAUAUUUACGUUCAACAGAGAAGAGGGUGCAUAUUCAUGGUAUGUGCUCAACUAGUUACCACCAAAGUUCCAUGAUUCAGUGAACGUUCCAUGAUUCCUCAUGAAGCAUAGCCAAUAACUAACAUUUUCAUCAAAACAUGUAGCAUGCUUCAAAAAAAAGCAGCUAGGAGACCAAGUUCUUCUAGUAGCAUCUUCAUAAAAUGGUCACUUGAAAUUCCUCAAAUGUUUCAGAAAAUCAUGAAAGUACUUGAAAUCAACUUCUCUUCAAUAAAUCUUCUCAUGGAAGACACCAGUAAAAUCCAAUCCUCUUCGGGAAAUAAAUUUGUGAACAAACCAAACCUCCUCUCCAAAGAACAACUUUAUUUGCACAAUACUCUACCUCACCAAGACACCAAACAAGUGAACAGUUAGGACUGUGAAAGAGAUCUUCAACAAGUCUAGUGCUUGUAGUUACUUCAACACAACACAACCCGGGUAAUCAUGCCAGAACAAUAAUUUUGCCAGAAGAAGCCACAUAACUAGUACGUACAAUAUUAACACCAAUGUAUGCUGUACAGAGUACAGUAGUACAGACUACAGGGUGCUAUAUUUUUUACAAAAAAAGUAGAGUGAAAGGAAAGUGGGGUCUUUGUGGGGGUUUGUCCAGACAUGACAGAAGUUAGACAUCUCAAAAGAAGAUUACAGUUGUAGAUUCUUCGCUAUUAAAGGCACACCAGCGAGAGAAGAUUUAAAGCUUCUCAGAGUCUUUGAGCCGUGGCUGGCUCAACAUGUGUUAACAUCUAACCAUAUACUCCAUAGUAUCAAAUGAGAAGGAUAAACCAAUUUCUUACCCAGUGUUGUAGUCUUUUGGCAGAUAAACAUCCCGAACAGGACCAAACUUUUGAAAUGGAACUUGGACAUCCUCAGGUCUGGAAGAGAACCCAAGUGAACAACCAGGAGCAAGUGAAAUGAUGCAGAAAUUGGUAUUGUAUUGUAUUGUAUACCUGCAGCUUCGCGGAAGGUUGCUGACGAAGAGGCUUACAGCAGCACCUUCCUUAUCCUUGGCACAGCCAUGUCGUGAGCUUGGAGGGCUUCUUCCCCUGCUGCCAUGCCUUCUCCUCUUGCUGGGGCUGCGGCUCCUCAUCGCUCUUCUGUGCCUGCACAAUACAGUACAUAGCCACUGACCACGAUUAUCAUUUAUCAAAGGCACAGAUGGCGAAAUCUUUCGUCCAGAUUGAGAUUGUGAGAUACGCAGAUGAAUCAGCGCAAGAUUUCUUUACUGAAAACUGAAAAGGGAUUGGCGGCGCUGGGCAAUGAGAAAUUAGGGCUCGGAGUUUAGGGGAAACACGAACCGUAUCUUGGUAUUCUACUUGCUAGGCAGCGCCGCCGCCGCCGCCGCCGCCGGCGGUGCCGGAGGAGGAGCGGAGACAGGUAGGGCAGGCGAGACACGCGACGUGGGAAGAGGAGGAGACGACAGAUGGUGGCCUGCCUGUUAUGGGCCUUAUCAAUCGAGGCCCACCAAGCCUACUUGAAACAAAUGGACUUUGCUUCACAAACUAGCAAAUUAUUAAAGCUACUUCAUCUAUCCCAAAUUAUAAGGCAUAUAUUUUUUUACACGCCCUUAAUAGCAUGCUUUGAUCAGUAUUUUAUUAUAUUCAAUGAUCCUAACAAAUAUGAAAUUAGCAUCACAUGAAAGUACUUCAAAAUAUGAAUCUAGUGAUAUAACAUGCAUAAUACUUAAUAUAGAUAUAGUUAAUAUAAUUAUUAGUUAAAAACUUCCGAGUUUAAUUUUACUUAAAAAGGAGCGCCCUAUAAUUUGGGACGAAGGGAGUACUUCUCAUCUAUACUCCUCUCUGUGUUUAUGUCGCUAGCGUGUGGUUCUUGGAUAUGCAGUUUGGUACCUCGACAGUUUCUAUAUUUUUUAUAUAAAAAAAAUCUCUUUCUUAUAAUAUAUUUGAUGGUCUCCUUCGGUCUUCCCGGCGAAUAAAGCAACUUCUCCUACAGUCUACAGAGAAGGAACAUCACUUAUACUCCAGGACAAUUCAGAACCCACAAAGAAGAAGAUUAUAUAAAUGGCACUCUGCAUAGAUUCAAUCGGUGUAGUAUUCUUUUCUUCAUAUGUACAGCAAAUUCUUUUCUAUUCUCUGUCUGUCAAACAUGAUGUAUUCAUGUACACGAAGAAUGAAAAAUGUAUAUACUACUAGUAGUAGUAUUUUUACAAGCAGAUCAACUCAGGGAGGGAACCAAGAUUCUGCUAACUGCAAAGUUGGUUGCAGAGUUGGUUGAUCUUAUCUUGCGUGGCAUCCGCUAUAAGGUAGCUCCGGUGUACGUUUGUGCCUUCACAUGUCAAGUUUAAUGUAUUCGCUUGUUGCAUUACCUGCAAAGGGGAACAAUUUGGUCAUACCAUGAACUGUCAAGAGAUAUGUCCUUCAUAGCCAUUUUCAGAAUCUAGCCAAAGCAAUUUCGAUGCAAUUAAAUGCUUCAGAUUUCAACAAUUCAGAUUCCAACAAUUUAGUUGAGCUUCGAUUAGAUACCAAAAACUGUAGUAUUAUGCAGGAGCAAUAGUCUAUUACUCAGCAAGAACAACACAUUUCUUGUCUACAUUAUACUUCAAAUUUCUUUAGCUUGUUUCUAUUCAUUCUUUGCUGAUGGCACUAUCACUUAAAAAGGUAAACAAAUAAUGAUAUUUGAACUGUCUUACCGUGCAAUAUGUUGGUGAUGAGUUGCAUUUCCAUCUUUUCGUAGGAACACAGCUGAGAUAGUGACACCAAGAGCAGUGGUCGUUUGCAUUAUAUCCUCGGAGAAGCAGUACUAUAGCCACUGUAAAUCUGUCAAGUUCAAAAUUGGGAGAUUUCAUCAAGGGAGGAAACAUGGGUAAAAUACAUUGCCACUAUUCAUUAGAGCCCAAAGAGGAAGGUCAGUGGACUAACCCGACAAUUAGCAUAAUGGCAGCAGCUAACCACAGUAUAUAUUGGUAUGUCUUGUGCUUGCGUUUCACAGGAGCAGGUUGUUGUCCAGGUGCUACUCUUCUCUGAUUAAUCCAUGCAAACUGUGGACGAAUAAACAUAACAAAUCCAAGAAGGAACCCGGAUAUAAGGCCCCCAAUGUGCGCAAAGUUAUCUACCCUGGGAAGUAUCCCAAGAGCCAAAUUCACCACAAUUACAAACACUAGUGUUAGUAGUGCUGCCACCUGACAAAUGAGAAAAAAAUCACACAAUAUAAUUCAAUAGGAAUUUAGAAUGGAAAGAAAAGCUAAUGAAUUGGUGAUGUAGCAGUAGUUGUUUCUACAAUCAAAAAACAGACCUUGUUUGCAUAGAGCGACCAAUUCGUUAUGAGUUCAGAAAGCAUGGACCCAAUCAAUCCAAACAAAGCACCAGAGGCACCAACAGAGAUACUUGAUCGGAUGAAGAGGGCAGACAUCAAGCUCCCACCAAGACCAGAGAUGAGAUAAACCAGACCAAUCCUCACUGCAUAACAUAGAGAAAAUCAGACUUCAGAAAGUUGUCUACGCUGUGAAACUACAUAUUCCGUAUUCAUUUUACCACUACACCAUUACUUCAAUGAACAUUGAUUCAUAUUCACAGAAGUUAUUGCACAUAAUUAACAUGUAUUGUACCUACAUUCCUAUUACAGUUCAAGGCAUCGACUCCUCUUGUAUUCUACCAAUGCAAGCAAGACAGUAAAAGGUAUGAUAUUAUACUCCCAAUCCUUACUUGAACAGGAAGUCGUCUUACUCAUUAAAUGUCUGAGGAUUUAUAUACAAUGUAUUAGUGUGCAUCCAUCAAAUAGAAUUACAUUUAUAACAAAUUGUACAAAAGAAGCUAAUUAGCCAUUAUCCAAGCAAGGUCAUGGCUGAAUAGUUGGCUUGUCUGGGACGUAAAGUUCAGAUGAAAUAUGCAAAGUUAACUUACCAAACCCAAACUCUUGUUCAAGUCGAAUGCCGAUAAAUAGAAGGCAUAGCAUAUUGAUGAGCAAAUGAACAACUCCAGCAUGAAGCCAGAUGCAUGUAAUUAGACGCCAUCCUUGGUGACCAUGGACAACCUUAGUUACAUCUAGAGCUCCCAUCUUCAGUAACCUGGUAGUAAGAUGAAAGCAUUUUUAUCAUCUUGAAUUCAAUAUGCAUAGUAAAAUAGUACUAUUGUCUUAGCUCCUUUUGCCCCCAUCUCCCUUUUUUUCCCUCAAGUUUUGUGUUGGAAAAAUAACACUGACUCAGUUCAUUGUACCUCUAAGCAAACAUCUGCUUCUUACCAACAAAAAUAAAAGUACCGGCUCGUCCUACAAUCCUUAAUCUUUUUUUUUGCGGGGACUACAAUCCUUAAUCUAAACAAGACAAAACUCUAAGUUUGAAGUGGUAACCCUUUCCAGCUUAAUAAUAAUAAAAAUGGAGCCACGGAUCAUGUUCACCGAACAAGGUACUUCCAAUUCCAAUAGUUGACUUUGCAAAUCCAAAAUAUUAUCGUAAAAUAUCCACCGUGCAGUAAGAUGAGCAAUCAGAGAUUUGAAAAGAAGAAGUUUUCAAUCUUUCUUCGGGGUUCAACAACUCUCCAACUGCCACCAUGAGUACAAAGAAUAGACUGAAUCAAUACAGUAGUAAUCAAAGAAAAACCAAACCAAGUCUAAUUAAUGGUUUCGUUUAGACAAUCCUACAUUUGAAUUGGGAAACCAGUUGGCAGCUUGCAUAUUUUUUAUGUUCUUUUAAUAAAGCAAAUUUUUAUUUUUGAGCUGUCAGUUUCAUAUUGUGAUAUCACCCAAAGUCAAGUUGCAAGGAGCUUAACUCUCUAGUUAAAGAAAUAAAAACGUAUGUUACAAAUCUCACCUAGAGUAGUUGCUAACCUUUAUGGAUGAAGUAAUUACAGAAAUGUAAUGAAUGUUUUGUAAACAAAAGACAGUAGGUUGUUCAUGGUGCAAAUAAAAAAAGGAAUUGAAAGAACAGUUGCAGACUCUUCAUUGCAUUGCACAGUAGACACGAAGUACGUUGAGACCAACCCUAUUGAAGUGGAGUACAUAAACAGAAGGCUUUCUUAAAUGCAAUGCAUUGCAUUGGUAACUGACGAGAGAAUGGAUGAGCAGAGUUGAGAAAUGGCUCAUUUUUUAUCCAUUGUUCGUUGUCUAUAGCCAAUUGAAGCAUUGGUUGACCCUUACAAACAAAUUAUUUAGAUAAUGAGAUGCAUAACAGAAUACUACUACCAUGUUUGGAGUCAGGUUCCUAAUUGCAACCAGCCAACCAACCAAAUGAAGUGGAUGUAUUGAAAUUAGCAGGCAGAUAUGAAAAGCAGAAGAAAAAUAAAAUCUUGGUUGGAGUAGAUAAGAGUUUGCUCUGCAUCUGUAAUUGGUGAUUGUAUCUACUCUAGAAAGUAAAGAAUGGAUGGUGUACGUAGCUAGGUACAUUAACAUUAAGCAGCUAUACGUCGUUUAUUGAACAAGAAAGAUCAUUAUCUAAAAAUUAAGCAAGAAAGAAAGAAAGGGGGGCGGAGGGAUUGAAGGCGAUCGACGUACGUGGCGGAGGAAGGGCCGAGGAGGGGAUUCUCCUUGAGCGGCUGGAAGGCGAAGCGGCCGAGGAAGCCGGCGGCGCAGUCCCCGGAGUUGCGGCGGGGGCAAUCGUUGACAUACAUGGAGACGAGGAAGACGACGACGCAGGAGAGGGCGAUGGCGGCGACGAUCCAGGGCGUCCAUCGGCGGUAGUAGGGGCGCGCCCUGAGACUUCCCGGCCGGUGAGGGUGCACCGGCGGUGGCCUAGGCCUCUCCACGCGGACGUCCAGGUUGGCGGCGGGAGACGGCUUCAUGGGACUUGGAGACAGACAGACGGAAUAUGGAAAUGGAAUGAGGAUUGGAGUUGAGAAUGGAAGAGACGGCGGUUGAUGAAUGAAUUGGAGUUUGCUUGCCAGCGAGAGAGGAGAAGAAGAAAGAAUCAGCAGCCACCGCGUUUAAUUUCUACUACUCCAGUACUACAAGUUGUAGUAUAUUGUAGUAGUAUUGGUUUGGUAAGCAAGGAGAAGAAACAAGUAGGUGUAUUACUCCAUGUCAGAGGAAAUUCGCAGAAGAAGAAAAGAAAACCUCUGACGGAAAGGCCGGCGCGAGGGUUCAGAUUACUCCUUUUUACUUGUGUGCGGUGCACCCAAUCAGAAUCAGCCAACAACAACUUGCUUACCGCCUACUACGUGUUGAGGAAGGAAGGAAGGAACGCGCAAAAUUAACCAAAUGAAGAAACGCGUUUCGUUUCUUGUUGGUGUUGUUGGCCAACCUCGAUCUCUUCUAUACGCCUCCAUCGCGCCUUGUAUAAUUCUACUACCGCCAAUUAAAUUCGAAGCCACCUACCGUGAUGAGAACGAGAGAGCGACUUUAUUUUUUAACGGAAUUGCUAGAAAACUUGCUACUGUCAAAUUUUCAGCCCUUAGAUCCGCUUCAAGAUUCGUGCGUGCAACAAGAUAAAAAACAGCAUAUAAUGUGUCGUGGACAGGAAUCGAUCCUUGGCCUUGCUCAUACAUAUGGCAGCAUUCAAACCACUAAGCCAGCACAACUUCAUGUUUCUUAAUCUACUUAUAUAGCAUUUACACUCUAGUUACAUAGUGUCACGCCCCGAACUAGUACCGACCGGAACUAGCCCGUGACGCUCCAAAUUAACCUGUUAAUCGAUACCAGUAUCAGGAAACAGUGCUGGUAUCACAGGAAGACAGAAUAUCACAGCAACAGAGGUCUCUUUAUUAUAGAGUAGGAGUACAGUCAUGUUGGGCUGCGGACAGAUCCCGAGCUCACAACUGCAUUACAAAAGGGAAGCGGAAGCCAAGACUUGGGCCAAACAACACAGGCGCGACUUGGGAACUAGGCCGAAACCCUAAAUCUCAUCGUAGCCGGCUUGCUCCUGGAAAAACUCCUCAUCAGCAGGAUCCGCUUCAUCUUCUUCAGCAACUGGGGGGGGAUUAUUUAUAUAGAGCAAGGGUGAGUACGGGAGUACUCAGCAAGCCAUGGGAAAUAAGUGUUUAAUGCAGGCUUCAAGGAAAGGCUGUUGUUUUUGCAAUUGAUUUUAUUUGAACUCUUUUCUGAAAACAACUAAGUGAGUGCUUUUCAAACGACACGGUUGAGAUAGUGCGUCUCGUCCGGUCGGAGUAUGUGCAAUGUAUCAGUCUUUAAAAUUGAUCAAGAUUGGCACCCGGCCAACAGCUUUCAAACGGCCACCCGGGCCAACAACUUUCAAACGGCCACCCGGGCCAACAACUUUCAAACGGCCACCUGGGCCUAGCUGAUCCCAUCAGCUGCAGAUUUUCCAAACAUCGAUCCCCUUUCCACAACAGCAAUUUCACAAACAGUAGGCAAACAAAACUACGCUAGGAAUCACCUCACAUCCACCCAUGACCGUGGGCACGGCUGUUCGAACAGUUUGUUAACCUCUGCAGAGGGGGUACACUUUACCUACACGACAUUACUAACCCGGAUCACCCAGCCCGUGGGGAUCAGCCACGUCGGGAGACCUCCAAGCUUUCAUGUCAAGGCAUUUCGAAAGCCGACACAGGUUUACCAUAUGCCGACGAGAGGGGUCCCAGACCAACAACAGGUUAGGUCCCAGACUAUACUGUGCCAGGAAGCCCAAGGGUCCUCCCCGACACCACCCCGGCGAAUCCACAUGUCUCUCGGCAUCAAGGCUCCCCUGAUAAGCUAGUUACUCAGCCAGGGGUGUCCCAUUCCACCCAUGUGGUCAUACUUGUCUUAUAUUCGGAUGAAAUUCCAAGGAAACGGUCCUUAAGUGCAAGAGCGGGAAACCGUACACCCGGUACGUUCCUCGGUCCGCGGUUUUGGAAAAUUCAUUUAGUUCGUAAGCACCGACCCAGGUGUCGGGUUUUCCAAGUCUUUUGUAAAACCCAAGUUUUACCCAAGAUGUUUUUUAGAUUUUAAGUUUGAAGGCGACCGUCGAUACUCGUGUAGAGUGCACGAUUUCCGAGGCGCAACUGGGUGGUUACAAGGAAACAUGGUAUAACAAUUAACAGAGGAAGGAUCAAAUGCAACAAGCUAGGUAGGUCCGCCAAUCUGCCUUGCAGACGGGACAAACAGAUUAAGUGCGAUCCUAUCAAUGCAUAAUAUUUUUCAAGCAACAUAAUUAAAUUCAAAUAUAGGCUCAAGAUGUUUAAAGGUGGCUUGCCUUGCUCGAGAUUUGGAGCUUGAUCCUCGAAAUCCUCGCACUGCGGGUCUUCGGGCUCCGAAACUACGCGCAAAACGGGACAACUCAACAAACGGCGAAAAUAAGGCCCUAUUAAUGACCUCUAAGCGUGCCAUUAGAUAGAUCUCGAGAUUUGAGGAAUUUUGGAAGUUGAACGGAGUCAAACGGAUUUACGGUUGGGAAGAUAUUGAAUUUCUAAGAUUAUUGGAUUUUUGGUCUAAAGGAAAAAGGAUUUAUUUAAAUCCUUUUUGAAAAAGAAAAGAAAAGAAAAGAAGGAGAGGGAAAAUUAGACUUCCCUCGGGCGGCGAGGGCGCGGCCCGAGAGAAAAGAGGCGGCUCGGCCGAGCUAAAUGGGCCGGCCGGCCCAAAAGGCGGCCCAAAGCGCGCGCGCUGGCGGGGAGGGGAGAGAGAGCCGGUGGGCCGGGUCCAUCCUGCGUGGUCCCGGGUGGGACCCGCUUGUCGGCGACUCGGCUCACCGUGCGGAGCGAACACGCGGCGCGCGCUAGGGUUCGGGGAGGGAGACGCGGUGCACGCGCGCGGUUCGCGGAGGAUGCGGUGCGGCGGGCCCACGCGCAGCCUCACGGCUCACCGCGGACCAUGCGCACGGGGGGGAAAAGGGAGGGAGCGGCUGGCCGGGUCAGCCGAUCCGGUCGCGGCCGAGGUGGCGCUGACGUGGCGCCUACGUGGCAGCCACGCGGGCCGGCGGGAGGUAGACGACGACGCCGGCCGGAACGGACGGCGGACGACAGCAGCGAGCGGCGGAGCGAACCACGGCGAUACAGGCGAAAGCGAGCACACCGGGUGGUUGCACGAGACGAGGGGAGAUGAGCCAACGGCUCGGAUUCGCCGGAGGGAGUGCGUCGGCGGCGGAUUGCGGCGGCGGCAACCGGCGGGGAGGGAAGAGGGAAACGGCGACGAGGUCACGAGGGGCCGAUUCCUGGCGGCGAGAGCAUCUACGCGGCUACGGGAAUCCGUCCCUUGUGCCGGAUUAGGAGGAAACGCAUCGAGGGAGGCCGGCGACGAGAGGCGCUUCCGAGCUCGGGCGGCGACGGCGGCGAGCACACGGCGAGCGACGGCAGCAGUCGGGGCGGCGCCGGCUAGCUACGGGGAGGCUACUCGUGCUACUACCCGAGUCUAAGGGGAGGAGAUGGAACGAGGAGGGAGAACGGGGAGAUGCGCUACCGUGCGGGACGGGGGGCAGUGACGAUGGGCCGACGGCACGGGAGUGAUCUCUUCGGCCUCGGGCCGGGGAAGAGGAAGAAGAGGGCACGCCCAGAGUCC
rnacentral:lncRNA from 1 species